rnacentral:tRNA from 1 species
UUUGUUUGGUGGCUGAGUAUACAAGCAAUAGACUGUAGAUCUAUUAACGGAGUUAAAUUUCCCCAACAAAA